rnacentral:rRNA from 1 species
AACGAACGCUGGCGGCAGGCUUAACACAUGCAAGUCGAACGGGUGUAGCAAUACAUCAGUGGCAGACGGGUGAGUAACACGUGGGAACCUUCCUAGGGGUACGGAACAACUCAGGGAAACUUGAGCUAAUACCGUAUACGUCCGUGAGGAGAAAGAUUUAUCGCCCUUAGACGGGCCCGCGUCGGAUUAGCUAGUUGGUGGGGUAACGGCCUACCAAGGCGACGAUCCGUAGCUGAUCUUAGAGGAUGAUCAGCCACACUGGGACUGAGACACGGCCCAGACUCCUACGGGAGGCAGCAGUGGGGAAUCUUGGACAAUGGGCGCAAGCCCGAUCCAGCCAUGCCGCGUGAGUGAAGAAGGUCUUCGGAUUGUAAAGCUCUUUUGCCAGGGACGAUGAUGACGGUACCUGGAGAAUAAGCCCCGGCAAACUUCGUGCCAGCAGCCGCCGUAA